rnacentral:rRNA from 1 species
GCUCAGGACGAACGCUGGCGGCGCGCCUAACACAUGCAAGUCGAGGGGCAGCAUCAUCAAAGCUUGCUUUGAUGGAUGGCGACCGGCGCACGGGUGAGUAACACGUAUCCAACCUGCCGACAACACUGGGAUAGCCUUUCGAAAGAAAGAUUAAUACCGGAUGGCAUAGUCUUCCCGCAUGGGAUGACUAUUAAAGAAUUUCGGUUGUCGAUGGGGAUGCGUUCCAUUAGGUAGUUGGCGGGGUAACGGCCCACCAAAACUACGAUGGAUAGGGGUUCUGAGAGGAAGGUCCCCCACAUUGGAACUGAGACACGGUCCAAACUCCUACGGGAGGCAGCAGUGAGGAAUAUUGGUCAAUGGACGAGAGUCUGAACCAGCCAAGUAGCGUGAAGGAUGACUGCCCUAUGGGUUGUAAACUUCUUUUAUAUGGGAAUAAAGUAUUCCACGUGUGGAAUUUUGUAUGUACCAUAUGAAUAAGGAUCGGCUAACUCCGUGCCAGCAGCCGCGGUAAUACGGAGGAUCCGAGCGUUAUCCGGAUUUAUUGGGUUUAAAGGGAGCGUAGGUGGAUUGUUAAGUCAGUUGUGAAAGUUUGCGGCUCAACCGUAAAAUUGCAGUUGAAACUGGCAGUCUUGAGUACAGUAGAGGUGGGCGGAAUUCGUGGUGUAGCGGUGAAAUGCUUAGAUAUCACGAAGAACUCCGAUUGCGAAGGCAGCUCACUAGACUGCAACUGACACUGAUGCUCGAAAGUGUGGGUAUCAAACAGGAUUAGAUACCCUGGUAGUCCACACAGUAAACGAUGAAUACUCGCUGUUUGCGAUAUACAGUAAGCAGCCAAGCGAAAGCAUUAAGUAUUCCACCUGGGGAGUACGCCGGCAACGGUGAAACUCAAAGGAAUUGACGGGGGCCCGCACAAGCGGAGGAACAUGUGGUUUAAUUCGAUGAUACGCGAGGAACCUUACCCGGGCUUAAAUUGCAUUUGAAUAAUCUGGAAACAGGUUAGCCGCAAGGCAAAUGUGAAGGCGCUGCAUGGUUGUCGUCAGCUCGUGCCGUGAGGUGUCGGCUUAAGUGCCAUAACGAGCGCAACCCUUAUCUUUAGUUACUAACAGGUCAUGCUGAGGACUCUAGAGAGACUGCCGUCGUAAGAUGUGAGGAAGGUGGGGAUGACGUCAAAUCAGCACGGCCCUUACGUCCGGGGCUACACACGUGUUACAAUGGGGGGUACAGAAGGCAGCUACCUGGCGACAGGAUGCUAAUCCCAAAAACCUCUCUCAGUUCGGAUCGAAGUCUGCAACCCGACUUCGUGAAGCUGGAUUCGCUAGUAAUCGCGCAUCAGCCAUGGCGCGGUGAAUACGUUCCCGGGCCUUGUACACACCGCCCGUCAAGCCAUGGGAGCCGGGGGUACCUGAAGUGCGUAACCGCGAGGAGCGCCCUAGGGUAAAA